rnacentral:rRNA from 1 species
AUGCCAGCGGCCGUAUCCGUGGUUAGUAGAGGGAGAUCGAAGAUGAGGAAUACGCAGCGAAAGCCAUCUAUUCUCAACUUCGAUGCUGGAUGCGGAUCUUCCUUAUCUUUUAUUGUAAUAGGCUUGGUGGGAUUCACCCUCAUUGCCUGCCUAUUUUUCAUCAGCCAUCAAGUAAAAACUGGGCAUGCCCAUAGCUAUUCCAGCCAUUUGCCUGCCACCAGAGAAUUGGAACAGGUUGAGGAAGAGCACUUUCGGUUGCCACCUCCUCACAAGGUGAAUCCUCGUGCAGUGAAACGUACAGUCAAACGUCGGGGCUCUACCAAGGCUUCAAAGAUCAUCGAUGAAUAUCUGGAUGGGUCCUCAGCAUUACACGACAUGUUCUUUCCUAGUGAAACAACUGCUGUGAACCCAACAAAAGGCAGAAAUGACAGCAUGUACUUUUAUCCCGGUAGGGUGUGGCUGGACACUGAUGGAAAUGCCAUUCAAGCCCAUGGUGGUGGCAUUCUGUAUGAUCAGAAUACCGCGACAUACUAUUGGUACGGAGAGAACAAAGAUGGACCAACUUAUCAAAUUCACCCUGAAGGGGCACAACGGAUAGACAUUAUAGGGGUAAGCUGCUACUCCUCGAAGGACCUAUGGUCAUGGACUCACGAAGGAAUCGUGCUUCCUGGAGAGCGUACCAAUAUCACGCACGACCUUCAUAUAUCAAAGGUUCUUGAGAGGCCUAAGGUGAUAUAUAAUGACCGUACUCGGCAGUAUGUUAUGUGGAUGCACAUCGACGACGGCAAUUACACUAAAGCAUCUGUCGGUGUGGCCGUCAGCAGAUCUCCCACAGGGCCUUUCAGUUACCUCUACAGUUUCCGGCCACAUGGAUUUGAUAGCAGGGACAUGACGAUCUUCAAAGACGACGAUGGCAUGGCUUACCUCUUCUACGCUACUCGCGGCAACACCGAGCUUCAUGUCAGUCCAUUGACAGCGGAUUAUCUUAAUGUCACAUCGGCUAUAAGGAGAAUAUUGGUAAGACGGUUCAGGGAGGCUCCGGCCGUGUUCAAGCUCAGAGGAACCUACUACAUGAUCACCUCAAGGUGCUCAGGUUGGGCUCCAAAUCCAGCACUGGCACACGCCACACACAAGAUCAUGGGGCCAUGGGAGACGUUAGGGAACCCGUGCGUGGGAGGCAACCACUUCCUCCGGCUGACAACGUUCCUGUCUCAGAGCACAUUCGUGCUCCCCCUCCCUGGCUUGCCGGGCACAUUCAUCUUCAUGGCAGACAGGUGGAACCCGUCGGAUUUGUGCGACUCCCGGUAUGUCUGGCUGCCCUUGUCCAUCGGAGGUUUGGCGGACGAGGCGCUGGACUACAGUUUCGGGUUCCCGUCGUGGUCGAGGGUUUCUAUUUACUGGCACAGGAAAUGGCGACUCCCUGAAGGUUGGAGGAAGAGUUACGCCUGA